ensembl:lncRNA
GGAGCCCUUCCUGGCGAACAAAGGAAGCGCCCCCCGGGCUGCAGAGGCGGUGGGGGGGUGGUGGAGUAGUGGUGGGGUGGGUGGAGGGACUUGGGACUGUUCUGAGAAGAGUGGGACUUGUUUACUAGAGAACCAGCCUGUGACUCCUGGGGAAAGGGGGUGGAGAGGGGGAAAAUACGGGAGAGAGUGAGGCAACUGGGGCUCAAAACAGUCAAAUUCAAAUUAAAAGGUCAAGACACGAUUCAGCUUGGCCCCUGGGCCUGGGAGCUUCGGACCACAAGUCUUGGAGAUUAACUGAGUUGCAAGUUCAUUGUGGGGACUGAGAAUCUCCAGUGUUUGGAGUGGGCCCGGGAACGGCUCGGCUCACGGCCAUCUCAGGCAAAAAGAGAACCCCGGUGGAUUUAGGGAUCCCUGGAGGAGGAAGCUGAAGAUUAGAGGAAACGGAAUCCGGAGAAUAACUUGUCUUUCCGGUAGCCCCGCAUUUUUCCCCAGGCAGAGGCUGUGGACUUUCCUUUUUCCGAAGGACCAGAGCCUGGCUGGGAAAGGAUUCCUGGGCCUGACGCACCGGCAUGGAUGAGAGAAGAAGCUGGACCGAUUUCUGGAGGCCCUAGCCGGCUGUGAUGGAAGAAGACUAAGGAAAGAAUUGUGCCCCGAAUUCCCCCAACCAGGAGAAGAAGACCCAGGGGUCCCUUAAUUCCAGGGGCGGGGGGGGGGAAUCGAAAGAUCCGUGGAGUUUGUGACUUAUUUGCAACUGGCAGGGAAGAUCUGAAAUAGUUUUAUGUUUUCGUUUGCAGGGGUCACCCUGGAUUCAGCCUGGGGGUUAUCCAGGGCAAGGUUAGGCUGUUUAGGCCCCAGACCAGACUUGGGACAGUCCCCAGCAGCAGUCAAUCGAGGGAGCCAUUUGUUCCACUGACCAUCCCGCGGGAAACAGCCGAGACUUUAUGGCCACUCUGUUUGUAUUAUCUGCAUAAGUCUUUCCCCACGAGUUUGAUCGAAACCGUUCCCUUUUACGAGGACCCAAAGAAAAUUUCCCGUCAUAUUUAUCAGCUGGGGAUAAAAAUUUAGUAUGGGAACUGAUAUUUCCUCAUUUAUGGGACGAUGAAAUUAAAGACCAAAGCAAUUGAGAAUUAUAUGGCUUUGGGGGUUCCCUCCCCCUCUUUCACAUCUCUUUAUUUCCCUCCAUGGUGUGCCUGUCCCUGGAGUCUGUCCUCUCAAAACCCUGCCCUUGUCCCCUGUUUUGGAGGCUGGUAGGGCUCUUUCUCCAACAGCCAGGUGCAGCUGGGCUACCAUAGCUCUUCCCAGCUUUUAUCUCAAGGACCGGAGGAACUAGGGAAGGGACAGUGUCUCCAUGUAGAACACGGUGUGCUGGCUGGAGAGGAGGUUUUGAGGGAAGAGCUUUGCAGGGGACAGUGGGAUUGGAACCCAGCCUCAGAUACUGAGAGUCAGAAAAUUAAGUCAACAAAUUCUAGAAUAAUCCUCAAACAACAUGCUCCCUCACAGCAACUGGCCGGCUAGCAAGAGAGAAGCAAAGUCAUUCAGCUUCUGGGCCUCUCUUCCCUACCAGCCAGAACCCCCCCCCCAACCCAAGCCUACCUCUAACCUCAGCCAUGGGAGGGAAGGGAGUUGCUUCAGGAUUCUUACCAUUAUGAGUGGAAAUAAUACCCUUAGGAGAAAAGCUUCCUGCUUCAACUCCCACCUCCUCACAAGAACGAAUAGUGUUUAAAGUUGAAAUAAUUAGAAGUAUGAUAAACACGGCCCAUUAAUGAAACAAGAAAUCAAAUUCAUCAGCCUAAGUGGGACCCCCGUUGGGACAAAUGUUUGCCUCUAAUUACUCAAGAUAAACGAAAACCCAGUGCUGUUAAGCAAGAGCCUUCUGGCUUGCUCGGACGCAGACGUGACUAACUUGUUGGCUUUCCCAAGACUUUGGGAUCUAACUUAAAGGAGGAACAAUUCGCUUUUCUUCCAGAGUACCACUUGAAUUGAGAGCAGGGGAACUCCAAGCAAAAAGUGGAAUGCUCAGAGGUUCAAGGGGAAAGGGUUUCAAACAGGUAAAAGAGAGUUGAAGCAAUCUUUGACCACCUUUGCCCCAGCCAGUGGAACUGAGCACCAGUGUUCCAGCACUGGCCUGCCUCAUCUCAGAAGGCCUGGUUCUCACCAGCAAACCCUCCCAACUGUGGCAGCC